rnacentral:rRNA from 1 species
UACGUAGGGUGCAAGCGUUGUCCGGAAUUAUUGGGCGUAAAGAGCUCGUAGGCGGUCUGUCGCGUCUGCUGUGAAAACCUAGGGCUUAACUCUGGGCGUGCAGUGGGUACGGGCAGGCUAGAGUGCGGUAGGGGAGACUGGAAUUCCUGGUGUAGCGGUGAAAUGCGCAGAUAUCAGGAGGAACACCAGUGGCGAAGGCGAUCAUCUGGGGUUGUUCUGACACUGAGGAGCGAAAGCUAGGGGAGCAAACGGG